CAUCUCUGCGUCCGAGACCCCCUUCGCCUUGGCUGAGGGUCCAAGCAGCCUCCUCUGGACGCGGGCCUUUCCCUAAGGCCGCCAGGGGGCGCCGCACUGAGGGGGCUGCAGGGGGUGGAGGGGCGGGCGCCGCUGCCCCGAGAGGGGGCUUCGGGCUGGGCGGGAGGAGAGGACUCUCACCUGCUCACGAGGUGCCCCCGGGCGGGGGAUCGGGAGUCCUCACCCUCGGACUGAGUCGGGAGUUUCUGGGGGCGAGGAGGGCGCGUCGCCCUCUGCCCCCGCCGGCACCCUGGCCAUGACCGGCAAGUCGGUGAAGGACGUGGAUCGGUACCAGGCGGUCCUGGCCAACCUGCUGCUGGAGGAGGAUAACAAGUUUUGUGCGGACUGCCAAUCUAAAGCCUUGCUGAGAUCUGACAAGAGUGCUUAGAAGGCUUUCUUCUUCCUGGAUGUGUGCGGUGGGAAACUGCCCGAUGCAGUGACACAGUGCGGAUUUCUAGACAGCCUAGCCCUGGCUUAUGGAGUGCGUUGGAGGCCUGAUGUGUGUGGUGGUGGCAGGAACUAGCAGAUUUUGGCAGUAGUGCUGUAUCCGUUUAAUCAGUGGAGAGAAGGAAGCAAGGAAUUCAUCGAAUUCGUUGCUUCCGUGGUAAUAAUUAAUUACACUUCUGAAGGUGAAUUGUGAUCACCGUAAAUUGGUAAAACCAUUUAGUCUUUGUUUUAUGUGCCCACAAAGAUACAUUAUUUGAUACAAUUAAAAAUCAAUAUGAUAGGAAAGCUUGAUUAUUAGUGAAAUGUUUGCACUUGACAUUUAUAGAUAAAAGCUGCUAUAAAUAUUUUGUUUCCUUA